rnacentral:lncRNA from 1 species
CAAGGGGGGAAGAAGAGAACAGCAAAGUGGUAGCAACCCAUGAAAGGUCCACCUCUCAGGAGUCUUAGCAGGAAAGAGCCCAGGUGGUAGCCAGAGUGACAGGCGAGACACCCAGCAGGUCUGUGACUGGGACCUCAGUGAGGCCCAGAGGCUGCAGGAAAGACCGUGCUGACAGGGAACGGUCACACACUCAUGAUGUCUACACUCACAAUCAUCCCCAGGGGGACAACCCAAAUGCCCACCAGCCCCAGAACAGUAAAGCACAAGCAUCAGCAUGGAAGAGCAUGCGCUGUGGGGUGACAGGGUCCAAGGGGGCCCUGUGGGGAACGGGUGGCCAAGGCAGGGCAGGGCAGUGAUGGAGAAGGGACAAGCCUGGCGUCCUCCAAGGGCCAUGUGGUGCCACUCAGGGUUCACACUGAUGAUGGUAAAUGGCGAGUUUUGAAAGUGCAGGGUGCCAGACUUUUGUCCACAGGUCUAUUUCUAUCAGCCCCUCCCCAACUGUCCCCAGUUCCUUCCCCUCACUCCGCUGCAACUCCCUCCAACACUGAGGAGGCUCCUGCACUUGAACACACCACGCCCCACCCCCAGGGCCAACCUGGACAGACUGGAGGGAAGCAGGAGAGGACAGAGCACAGCGGUCAGAAGGGGGCUGCCCUCUGCUCCCCAGCCUUGCCACUCGGUCACACCCGCCCAGCCUCGCCAGACUCCUUUCCCCGGAGGCUCUCCAGGUGCUUGUGCAAAUUCAACUUCUGAGAAUGCUCCCUGUCCUUCCCUGCUCACCAGCCACUCUUGGGGGCGAAUAUGUGUGACACAGGACAUACCCACCAAGAGCCUGGCACAGCAGAACCAAUCAUGAGCUAAUGAACUGUUAUGGCUGGCUCUUAUACACAUCUNAGAAUGUUUGGAAAAUAUGAAAAAUACAGAAAAGAAAACGCCAACCAAAGAUAAUCGCUAUUUUUGCUUAUUUCCUCCUGGUCUUCUUCCUUUUUGUACAUAUUGAUAUAUUUGACAACCGAGGGGGUGUUCAUUCACACAAGGGAG